CUGUGCGUUGUUUUGGGACGAGAGCCUGCUGUUCUGUCUGUGACCCGGCCCCCCCUUCUGCCUGGCUUUUGAGCGGGCUCUCUGCUGUCUCUUCUUCAGCUUCCAGUACUCCCUCUUCUCCUGCAGGCUGUUGCCACAGCUCAUACCGCCCUCCCCUCCCACAGGCUCCACGAACAGCGGCCUCCUGAACGGUUGCUGCGGCGCCGCCGGUUGCACCCUCUGUGGCGGCGGCGGCGGCGUGGCGGGGGAGUGGUGCAGCCUCGGCGGCUCUGAGGAGCAACAAUGCUGAAGGUGAUUGCCCGACUUUUUGGUGCACAGCCUUUUGGCCCGACGUAGGGGAGACGACGUCUGCGUCGGACCCCCCUCGCCUAAGGCAGUGGGGCACUGGGGGUCCGGGGUUGUGGAGGACAGCGGGGUGGAGGAUUCGCCGGUCUGGGUUGAGGCAUAAGGGUAAGGGUCUCGCGGACAGGCAUGCCCCGAGUCAUCAGGGUCCGCCUGCCAGCUUUUGAUCUGCAGCGUCAGGUUGGCAGCCAACGGCAGCUUGUCGUCGUCUUCUUCUCCUCCUAGGGAGGCCUCCGGGAUCUCCGAUUUCAUCUCCUGCACCAAGUGCUCGUCUGAGACGUCCUCCUCUCUCUCGGCUUUACAAGGAGGCGGCGGCUCUGUUUUUAUGGCGGCGGGCUGACAUUCAGUCACGGUGCUGAGGGAUUCUUCCAGCAGCUUUUUCAUGGAGGCCACGGCGAGAAGAGUAGUCGCCUGGGUUUCGGCACUCAGGGUUGGAUCGGGCUCUGGCUGAGGCAAGGCCAGCGGAGGCGACGGCGAGGGGGCCUGUUUGAUUGGACAGAUGGCUCGUUCAGGUCGAAUGUUUAGGUCAGAGGCCGGUACGGGUUCCCUCUCCACUUUGAUCUGCUUCGCCUGCUGAGGAUUAGGCACAUUAACAUUACAGGAGGGGAGGACGUUCAUUUUCUGUUUGGCAGAAUUCCUGAUUUGCGUAGCGGUAUUGGCCGUCAUGGCCGACCGCUGAAGGGGCGUCUGCUUGUGGGUCUUCCUCCUUUGCAUGGCUGCGUCCCACGCCGGCAAUAAGCCGUGCUUCAGCUUAGUGGCCCGGGCCGCCCUCUGCUCCCUCUUCUUCACCCUCCAGUACUCUCUCUUCUUGGCCAUGCGUUGCUCCUCGGUCAGCCCCGCGUCCUCACACGGCGGCGCCAACAGCGAAGAGACCGCCAUCUUCAUGACGCAGCCUCCGCCGCCGCCGCCGCCGACCCCGUCGCUGACACCUCGGACCCGGCGGCCCGGGGAAACGGAGGGUGCGUGAGAGUGAUCUGAGCGGCGUUGUGCCCCGCCGAGCGGUUGGAGUGCACCGCGGCCGAUCUCUGAAAGUGCGUCCUGGGCCUGAUGGACAGCAGGCGCGGAGGCUUGUUGGCAGACUGGCCGUCCCGCGGCAGCGUGACUCGGACCUGAGCCGGACGCAGCGGCGGGGGCGGGCGGUGGCCGAGCCGUCCCGAGUACCCGAGCGCGGCGUCCCUGCCGUGGCCCAGAGGCCCGGCGUGAGACGGAUGCGGCGAGUGCGCGACGACGCCAUCGUCGGAGAGCAGACAAGAGGUCUGUUCCGCCUCGUGCCCCGCCGCCGCCGCCGCCGCCGCCGCCGUGUCCGUCGGCACCGGGGGAAGGCUGACGGUCACCGUCCCGUCCUCUUUGAUGAACCCGCCGAUGGUCUCCGAGGCGUGGGUGAGCAUCCCGCCCGUCGACCGGCCCCCCAGGGCGACGGUCUGCGCUCGGGCCCUCCUCAUCUCCUCCAGGAUCUUCUGGUAACGUUUGACUCUCCUCAUCAGGGAGUCCUUCUCCUUCAGCUGGGCCUUCACCUCCAGGGACUGCUUGGCGCGCUGCUCCCGCUUCUUGAUGCGCCAGUACUCCCUCCGUCUGGAGGCCGUCUGCUCGGGAGACUCGUUAGGGAGGAUUUUGGGGACGUUCCGCGAAUUGUAGAUGGCGGCGAGGGACGGGAACUUGACUCUUAUGUUCCGUUGAUUGGAGAAACACUUCUGCGUUUCGACGAGUCUCUGCCGCGGCGUUCGGCAUCUGGCGAUCGCCCGGUUGACGUUGGAAAAAUACGCGUGGUUCGAAAACUUCCUGGGGUAAUCUAUCCUUCGUUCCACCUUGACGUUAGGCGUGAAAGCGGGCUGUGUUUUCCUAGAGACCUGCGGGUUUUCUACUUUAAUUAAUAACGUGUUCUGAUUCGGACUAGGUCCAACUGGGUUCAACCUGGCUGGCCCCGACUCCUCGUCCGUUUUCUCCUCUUUCUUGACAAGUCGAGGCACAGAAGAUGAAUCAAGCGUCACUCGAGCGUUCUGCAGUAAGCGAUUGGCAGGUGCCUCUCGAGGCCUGGGGCUACUCACGCUUUGUUUUGGGCACAUACUUUGUACAGAAGAUAGGGGAGGGGGAUGUUUGAGACCUCCACCGUGCGAUACCCCUGCCUUCUGCGUUACCAGCCUCGGGAGCGUUGUUCCUGUGAAUUGUGUUCGCUCUCUGCUUUUCGUCGACCUAGCUGCCAGCUUCGCUCUCUGUUCCCUCUUUUUUAUCCGCCACUGCUCCCUACGCUUGGCUACUCUUUCCUCCUCUGACACCGGGGUCACUCGUGUCUUAUCAACACUGUCGUCGCUCCCGCCGGUUACCAAGGCACUCGUUUUGAGUCCGACCUGACUCGCGUCGUUCGCCGCUCCACUCCUCCCAGCCUUGAGGGAGGCGAGGUGGGUGGACGACGCGGUUUUGAGGCCUGCGGUGACCUCAACGUUUAAAGGUUUCGGCUGAUUGCAUCCUACUUGUGGCUUUUGUUGUGCUUUAGGUGACGGUACAGCCGGCCUGGGAACACCCGGAUGGGGUGUAGCUGUGGAGGAGCUGCCUUUUGUGGACAUUUUGGAUUGUAGCUGGCACGCUUCCGUCGUCCCUGAUGGGUGCAAUGUUACUCUAUUUGGAGGCACUGAGGGGGCACUGAUGUCCAAGGUAGUUUCACUGGAUCUGGAUUGAGGUGAGGUAAUAGAGCCACCUAGAGGGCCUCCUGAAGAUUGGCAUUUCACUGAAUCAUUAUCAAAUGCACUGGUUCCAUCUGCAAUGUGACCUGACGCGGUAAACUGUGGCAAAACUUGGUUGAGUUUCAUCGUUUGAAACCAUCUCUCUUUUUGGCUUGGACUCAUGUCCCCUGCAUCCUGAACUGGUGCUUUCUCCCUCAGCGAGGCCUGAGAAACAUUCACCGCGUUGCCUGAAUUCUGCUUCCUUUGCACUGGGGAGCAGGGGGCGGCCUCGCAGCCAGACGUCUGUGAUGGGCAGACAUCGGUGCCCUGCUGCUGCAUUGCUGGCUUGCUGGACACCAGACCUCCAACGUGGUUUCUGUCCAACUUCUGCCGACCAGGGCGUCCCUUUGUAAUUCAGUUCAUUAUUCUGCUUUUGGUCAGUUCGAAAUCAUCCCUCCUACGACGAGUGCGUCCGAGCUACACAUCACAAGUGAAUGCUGGCCGUCUCUGUGAUGUUUCUGCAGCUGACAUCACUCUCAUCAUCCACAUGGG
ensembl:lncRNA